UACGAAGGGGGCUAGCGUUGCUCGGAAUCACUGGGCGUAAAGGGUGCGUAGGCGGGUCUUUAAGUCAGGGGUGAAAUCCUGGAGCUCAACUCCAGAACUGCCUUUGAUACUGAAGAUCUUGAGUUCGGGAGAGGUGAGUGGAACUGCGAGUGUAGAGGUGAAAUUCGUAGAUAUUCGGCGGAACACCAGUGGCGAAGGCGAACUCAC
rnacentral:rRNA from 1 species